CUCCCUAAUAAGGCAGAGGACGGCUGUCCUGUUGGGGACACUGGAGAAGGCAUCAGCUGAGGACACAGCUGUGGAGAAAGAACAGAGUUUGCAGACAGAGAGAUAGAGAGGAGCGUUCGGUAGCCAUCUGCAGGGGGAGACUGCAUUUAUUAAUGGUUACUUUGUAUACUUUUUGUCUCAGUCGCUGUUUCAUUGUUGGGAAGAGACACCAUGGCCAGGGUGAGGCAAACAGACCUGAAGUGACCCACCCGGGGUCACAUAUUUAGAAAGGGGUGAAGACUGGUUCACACACAACCUCUGAGACACAAGAUCUUGCUCGCUUCUACUCCCUGGCUGCGAAGGAUGCUGCAGGAGCAUGCUAGCUGCCAGAGUGAUUGGUGAGACAUACUGAUGCUGGGACAAAGAAUGAUGCUGAGCUUGCUGAGUGCCCUGACAAUGGUGAUAGGAAAGCUGUAUUGGACAUAUGUUCUUGACCAAACUUUGCUUGCCUGUGUCCCAGAUUGGACAAGCUGCCUUGCUUCAAGCUUUUAGACCUUGUGGGACAGAGAACAUGGAGACUGUGGAAACUGACUUAGAAAAAUUAAUCAAAAGGAGAAGU
rnacentral:lncRNA from 1 species